GUGCUUGCUUUACUAGCACAUAUACUAAAAUUGAAACGAUGUAGAGAAUACCAUGGCCCCUAUAUAAGGAUGACAUGAAAAUCCAUAAAGUCUUCUAUAUUUUU
ensembl:snRNA U6 U6 spliceosomal RNA